CUUGUCUCCAGGGACGCGAAGAGUCCUCGAGGCCCCUCGAGCUAAAAGUGCAGCCUGGCCCAGUUUCUCCUGGCCUACUCUACUCCGCUCCCGGUGUACGACCCACCUCCAAGGGGCGGAGGGCCCCUGGGGCAGCGCUGACUCACGCUCGCGUGGUUUCCACCAGUCUUUCAACUUGAGGGACCCCCACAAUCUGCCCUUAGCUGGGAGCUCCUGUGGGCGGCUUCCGACGCAGAACCUCGCACUGCAUCCAGACUUCCGAGCUCCAAGCGUCCCGCACCUCUGCCUGGGACCCCUUCCCGAUACCUAGUGCUCAGCUCCUUCACCCUGGAGGAAAAGGUAUCUUUGCAUCCCCCAAGCUUCCUCUCUGUCCUCCCACCCCCACUCCCCCACGCACAGGCCCGACUCCCACUCAACCACUGUAGACCCAAGCCCCCCACUUUACCUGCAGUUCACCCCAGGCCAUAACCCUGGCAACUCUUCAAGCCAUCGCAGGUCUCAACUCUGCAGUUCUCUCUCAUACACAGUUAUCUUUCCUAAAGCGGGGGAAAGUAGAGCUGAGGAUUUGGAAGAAGAUCCUGAGAACUCGCAGGGACUUUGAGGGAAGCUGAGGAGGGGGCCCCUGACUAGGGUGAACCAGAUCCCGUCGGGACUGGGGUAUUGAAUCCACUGAGCACCUGCUCAUUUCCUCCUACAAUGUAAUCACUACAGCCAGUCUUAGUCGGGAAGACUCAAGAGAGUUCUCCCUCCCUCCUACCUUCCCUUAGUCCCACCCGCCUUGCCUGGUCUUGCUUGCCUCCCUGUUUCCAUGACAACUCCAAGGGAGCCCAAACUGGGGGCUUGAGUGCCGGGGUGAGAGGAGGAGAGACGGAGUGAGGGUACCUCGGAAACUCUCCCCCUCCCUCUCCUCGGUCCCUUUAAGCUCCCCCCCCUCCCUGCACUCCCUCCGCCCCCCGCCGCUGUCUUCAUCUCUCCAUCUCUGCUGCUGCCGGCUGCGCAAUCCGCACACCGAGACUCUGAGACUCCGACGCCAGCCAGGGACCCCGACUCCCGCGACAGGGACCCUGUCCCAACGAGACCACAGGCAUGUCAUCGGAAAAGUCAGGCCUCUCAGACUCAGUCCCUCACACCUCUCCACCACCCUAUAAUGCCC
rnacentral:lncRNA from 1 species